AGAGUUUGAUCCUGGCUCAGGAUGAACGCUAGCUACAGGCUUAACACAUGCAAGUCGAGGGGAAACGAUAUUGGAAGCUUGCUUCCGAUAGGCGUCGACCGGCGCACGGGUGAGUAACGCGUAUCCAACCUGCCCACCACUUGGGGAUAACCUUGCGAAAGUAAGACUAAUACCCAAUGACGUCUCUAGAAGACAUCUGAAGGAGAUUAAAGAUUUAUCGGUGAUGGAUGGGGAUGCGUCUGAUUAGCUUGUUGGCGGGGUAACGGCCCACCAAGGCAACGAUCAGUAGGGGUUCUGAGAGGAAGGUCCCCCACAUUGGAACUGAGACACGGUCCAAACUCCUACGGGAGGCAGCAGUGAGGAGUAUUGGUCAAUGGGCGAGAGCCUGAACCAGCCAAGUAGCGUGCAGGAAGACGGCCCUAUAGGUUGUAAACUGCUUUUAUAAGGGAAUAAAGUGAGUCUCGUGAGACUUUUUGCAUGUACCUUAUGAAUAAGGACCGGCUAAUUCCGUGCCAGCAGCCGCGGUAAUACGGAAGGUCCGGGCGUUAUCCGGAUUUAUUGGGUUUAAAGGGAGCGUAGGCCGGAGAUUAAGCGUGUUGUGAAAUGUAGACGCUCAACGUCUGCACUGCAGCGCGAACUGGUUUCCUUGAGUACGCACAAAGUGGGCGGAAUUCGUGGUGUAGCGGUGAAAUGCUUAGAUAUCACGAAGAACUCCGAUUGCGAAGGCAGCUCACUGGAGCGCAACUGACGCUGAAGCUCGAAAGUGCGGGUAUCGAACAGGAUUAGAUACCCUGGUAGUCCGCACGGUAAACGAUGGAUGCCCGCUGUUGGUCUGAACAGGUCAGCGGCCAAGCGAAAGCAUUAAGCAUCCCACCUGGGGAGUACGCCGGCAACGGUGAAACUCAAAGGAAUUGACGGGGGCCCGCACAAGCGGAGGAACAUGUGGUUUAAUUCGAUGAUACGCGAGGAACCUUACCCGGGCUUGAAUUGCAGAGGAAGGAUUUGGAGACAAUGACGCCCUUCGGGGUCUCUGUGAAGGUGCUGCAUGGUUGUCGUCAGCUCGUGCCGUGAGGUGUCGGCUUAAGUGCCAUAACGAGCGCAACCCCUCUCCUUAGUUGCCAUCAGGUUAAGCUGGGCACUCUGGGGACACUGCCACCGUAAGGUGUGAGGAAGGUGGGGAUGACGUCAAAUCAGCACGGCCCUUACGUCCGGGGCUACACACGUGUUACAAUGGCAGGUACAGA
rnacentral:rRNA from 1 species